rnacentral:rRNA from 1 species
AUGAACGCUGGCGGCGUGCCUAAUACAUGCAAGUCGAGCGAACAGACGAGGAGCUUGCUCCUCUGACGUUAGCGGCGGACGGGUGAGUAACACGUGGAUAACCUACCUAUAAGACUGGGAUAACUUCGGGAAACCGGAGCUAAUACCGGGUAAUAUAUUGAACCGCAUGGUUCAAUAGUGAAAGACGGUUUUGCUGUCACUUAUAGAUGGAUCCGCGCCGCAUUAGCUAGUUGGUAAGGUAACGGCUUACCAAGGCAACGAUGCGUAGCCGACCUGAGAGGGUGAUCGGCCACACUGGAACUGAGACACGGUCCAGACUCCUACGGGAGGCAGCAGUAGGGAAUCUUCCGCAAUGGGCGAAAGCUUGACGGAGCAACGCCGCGUGAGUGAUGAAGGUCUUCGGAUCGUAAAACUCUGUUAUUAGGGAAGAACAAAUGUGUAAGUAACUAUGCACGUCUUGACGGUACCUAAUCAGAAAGCCACGGCUAACUACGUG